UGGCUCAGUUGGUAGAGCAUUGUGUUUGCAACGCCAGGGUUGUGGGUUUGAUUCCCAC
rfam:Salmo salar isolate Sally breed double haploid chromosome ssa07, whole genome shotgun sequence.